rnacentral:rRNA from 1 species
GGUAGUUGGCUCCCAGGCUUUGACGGGUAGCCGGCCUGAGAGGGUGACCGGUCACACUGGGACUGAGACACGGCCCAGACUCCUACGGGAGGCAGCAGUGGGGAAUCUUGCGCAAUGGGCGAAAGCCUGACGCAGCAACGCCGCGUGCGGGAUGAAGCAUUUCGGUGUGUAAACCCCUGUUGCUCGGGACGAACAACUGGUUUCGACCAGUCUGACGGUACCGGGUGAGGAAGCACCGGCUAACUACGUGCCAGCAGCCGCGGCC